GCCUUCGUAGCUCAGUUGGAAGAGCGACGCAUUCGUAAUGCGUAGGUCGUCGGUUCGAAUCCGACCGAAGGCUCCA
rnacentral:tRNA from 3 species